AUCAUGAUGACCUGAUGUCAGUGUCCACACACGCCUUAUAUCAGCUGUGUGUGUGUGUCCAGUCGUCUGGGGGACUGCAGAUCCUUGCUUGGGCCGGCACGUGGAUGUCUACGAUGUACGGGCAACUGAGGCCCAGAGAGGGGCUGCCCCUUGCCCAAGGUGGCACAGCCUGGACAGCAGCAGAGCUGGAAUUCUGCCCGAGGCCUUUCCCCAUCUCCUUCCCUGCAAGGAUUGGCCCGAAAAGCGCUCCGAGUUCUGCCCGCUGAGCUUCCCGAGGCCACCAGCAGGGGGCAGCAGACUCCAGGACCCUCCCCUCCGUGAGGGCAGGCUGGCGCUCAGCUCCCGUGGCCUCCCACACCCCCUACCUCUGGGCAGCUGGGACCCCGCCUGCACCCCCAGGCUGGAACCUCCACUGCCGAAAUGCAGAGGCCCCAGAAAUAAGGAGCUCUUCGUAAAUAGAACCGACGUCCCCACAAAUGC